rnacentral:rRNA from 1 species
GAGAUGAGAAUGUGCCUUCGGGAACCGUGAGACAGGUGCUGCAUGGCUGUCGUCAGCUCGUGUUGUGAAAUGUUGGGUUAAGUCCCGCAACGAGCGCAACCCUUAUCCCUUGUUGCCAGCGGUUAGGCCGGGAACUCAAAGGAGACUGCCAGUGAUAAACUGGAGGAAGGUGGGGAUGACGUCAAGUCAUCAUGGCCCUUACGACCAGGGCUACACACGUGCUACAAUGGCGCAUACAAAGAGAAGCGACCUCGCGAGAGCAAGCGGACCUCAUAAAGUGCGUCGUAGUCCGGAUUGGAGUCUGCAACUCGACUCCAUGAAGUCGGAAUCGCUAGUAAUCGUGGAUCAGAAUGCCACGGUGAAUACGUUCCCGGGCCUUGUACACACCGCCCGUCACACCAUGGGAGUGGGUUGCAAAAGAAGUAGGUAGCUUAACCUUCGGGAGGGCGCUUACCACUUUGUGAUUCAUGACUGGGGUGAAGUCGUAACAAGGUAACCGUAGGGGAACCUGCGGUUGGAUCACCUCCUUA